rnacentral:piRNA from 1 species
UGAAUAUGAAUGUAGUUAC